rnacentral:rRNA from 1 species
UGAAGUUUUCUUUUAGAGAUUUAAGAUUUGAUCAUGGUUUAAAAUGAUUUAAAAUGGUAUUAUCUAAAUUUGAUUUACGGAGUGGGCAAUAAAUAUUUACCCCGGCAAAUUAUCGCUUGUAAAAUACUUGUUCCAGAAUAAUCGGCUAGACUUGUUAAAGCUUGUACUUUAAUUGUUGUUAAUCAUAAAAUUUUUUAUUUUACUUUAAAGGUUUUAGGUAGAAUUAGAACUUUUUAAUGUGAAUUUUUAUGAUUUUAAAUUUUGUUGAACGAAUUAGAUUAGUACCUAAUUAGACAAAAAUUAAAAGAGCAGGAGUAAAGUUGUAUUUAAACUGAAAAGAUAUUGGCAGACAUUCUAAAUUAUCUUUGGAGGCUGAGUAAUAAUUGAGAACCCCCAUUAACUACUUAGUUUGUUGAUUCAUGUAUGAUCGUUUAUUUUAUUCUUAAGGAUUAUAAUUAAAAAUUUUUUAUUUAAUAAAAUAGAUAUAUACCUGGUUUAUGACAAAAGUAACAUUUGGCCUACAAUAUUAUAUAAUGUGGAUAACAAAAUUAGUUUUUUGUUUGAAAAUGUAAAAGA